rnacentral:rRNA from 1 species
CCUACGGGAGGCAGCAGUGAGGAAUAUUGGUCAAUGGGCGCGAGCCUGAACCAGCCAAGUAGCGUGAAGGAUGACUGCCCUACGGGUUGUAAACUUCAUUUAUAAAGGAAUAAAGUGAGGCACGUGUGCCUUUUUGUAUGUACUUUAUGAAUACGGAUCGGCUAACUCCGUGCCAGCAGCCGCGGUAAUACGGAGGAUCCGAGCGUUAUACGGAUUUAUUGGGUUUAACGGGAGCGUAGAUGGGUUGUUAAGUCAGUUGUGAAAGUCUGCGGCUCAACCGUAAAAUUGCAAUUGAUACUGGCAGCCUUGAGUACAGUUGAGGUAGGCGGAAUUCGUGGUGUAGCGGUGAAAUGCGUAGAUAUCACGAAGAACUCCGAUGGCGAAGGCAGCUUACUAAACUGCCACUGACAUUGAUGCUCGAAAGUGUGGGUAUCAAACAGGAUUAGAUACCCGAGUAGUC